GUUGCUAGGAAACUGCCUUUCAUUCUUUCUGCUGAGGUAUCAGAAUCAAGCCACGAGGGAAGCAGUGGAGCGCACAUCCCAAGCGUCGCGAUUCCACGGGAGCCUUACGAAGAGGUGAAGAUUUUCAGAAACAAAUCCGGUGAGAAUGGGGAGAGAAGGAAUUUAAAGAUGAGGAAGUGGAAGUCAUUAUUUUGAAGGCCCUUCCAUCAUGGUAUUUCUGCCAUGGAGCCAGCCAGCCGUGGGGAUUUACAGAUACCCUGUUCCUGAGAAACCCUGAGA